GAUGAACGCUGGCGGCGUGCCUAAUACAUGCAAGUCGAGCGAACGGACGAGAAGCUUGCUUCUCUGAUGUUAGCGGCGGACGGGUGAGUAACACGUGGAUAACCUACCUAUAAGACUGGGAUAACUUCGGGAAACCGGAGCUAAUACCGGAUGAUAUUUUGAACCGCAUGGUUCAAAAGUGAAGGACGGUCUUGCUGUCACUUAUAGAUGGAUCCGCGCUGCAUUAGCUAGUUGGUAAGGUAACGGCUUACCAAGGCAACGAUGCAUAGCCGACCUGAGAGGGUGAUCAGCCACACUGGAACUGAGACACGGUCCAGACUCCUACGGGAGGCAGCAGUGGGGAAUCUUCCACAAUGGGCGAAAGCCUGACGGAGCAACGCCGCGUGAGUGAUGAAGGUCUUCGGAUCGUAAAGCUCUGUUAGUGGGGAAGAACAUAUGUGUAAGUAUCUGUGCACAUCUUGACGGUACCCAAACAGAAAGCACCGGCUAACUACGUG
rnacentral:rRNA from 1 species